ACGGCUACUACAUCCAAGGAAGGCAGCAGGCGCGCAAAUUACCCAAUCCCGACACGGGGAGGUAGUGACGAUAAAUACUGAUACAGGGCUCUUUUGGGUCUUGUAAUUGGAAUGAGUACAAUUUAAAUCCCUUAACGAGGAACAAUUGGAGGGCAAGUCUGGUGCCAGCAGCCGCGGUAAUUCCAGCUCCAAUAGCGUAUAUUAAAGUUGUUGUGGUUAAAAAGCUCGUAGUAGAACCUUGGGCCUGGCUGGCCGGUCCGCCUCACCGCGUGUACUGGUCCGGCCGGGCCUUUCCCUCUGUGGAACCCCAUGCCCUUCACUGGGUGUGCCGGGGAAACAGGACUUUUACUUUGAAAAAAUUAGAGUGCUCCAGGCAGGCCUAUGCUCGAAUACAUUAGCAUGGAAUAAUAGAAUAGGACGUGUGGUUUUAUUUUGUUGGUUUCUAGGACCGCCGUAAUGAUUAAUAGGGACAGUCGGGGGCAUCAGUAUUCAAUUGUCAGAGGUGAAAUUCUUGGAUUUAUUGAAGACUAACUACUGCGAAAGCAUUUGCCAAGGAUGUUUUCAUUAAUCAGGAACGAAAGUUAGGGGAUCGAAGACGAUCAGAUACCGUUGUAGUCUUAACCAUAAACUAUGCCGACUAGGGAUCGGA
rnacentral:rRNA from 1 species